UACGUAGGCAGCAAGCGUUGUUCGGAGUUACUGGGCGUAAAGGGUGUGUAGGCGGUUCACUAAGUUCGGUGUGAAAUCUCCCGGCUUAACUGGGAGGGUGCAUUAAAAACUGGUGGGCUUGAGUAUGGGAGAGGUAAGCGGAAUUCCUGGUGUAGCGGUGAAAUGCGUAGAGAUCGGAAAGAACACCAACGGCGAAAGCACUCUGCUGGGCCGACACUGACACUGAGAGACGAAAGCUAGGGGAGCGAAUGGG
rnacentral:rRNA from 1 species